UACGUAGGGAGCAAGCGUUGUCCGGAAUCAUUGGGCGUAAAGCGCGCGUAGGUGGCCUCAUAAGUCCGCUGUGAAAGUCAAAGGCUCAACCUUUGAAAGCCGGUGGAUACUGUGAGGCUAGAGUACGGAAGAGGCGAGUGGAAUUCCUGGUGUAGCGGUGGAAUGCGCAGAUAUCAGGAAGAACACCAAUGGCGAAGGCAGCUCUCGUGGGACGGUACUGACGCUGAGACGCGAAAGCGUGGGGAGCGAACAGG
rnacentral:rRNA from 1 species